CGUAGGGUGCAAGCGUUAAUCGGAAUUACUGGGCGUAAAGCGUGCGCAGGCGGUUAUAUAAGACAGAUGUGAAAUCCCCGGGCUCAACCUGGGACCUGCAUUUGUGACUGUAUAGCUAGAGUACGGUAGAGGGGGAUGGAAUUCCGCGUGUAGCAGUGAAAUGCGUAGAUAUGCGGAGGAACACCGAUGGCGAAGGCAAUCCCCUGGAUCUGUACUGACGCUCAUGCACGAAAGCGUGGGGAGCAAACAGGAUUAGAUACCCUGGUAGUCCACGCCCUAAACGAUGUCAACUGGUUGUUGGGUCUUCACUGACUCAGUAACGAAGCUAACGCGUGAAGUUGACCGCCUGGGGAGUACGGCCGCAAGGUUG
rnacentral:rRNA from 1 species